rnacentral:rRNA from 1 species
GACGAACGCUGGCGGCGUGCCUAAUACAUGCAAGUAGAACGCUGAAGCUUGGUGCUUGCCCCGAGCGGAUGAGUUGCGAACGGGUGAGUAACGCGUAGGUAACCUGCCUGGUAGCGGGGGAUAACUAUUGGAAACGAUAGCUAAUACCGCAUAAGAGUAGAUGUUGCAUGACAUUUGCUUAAAAGGUGCAAUUGCAUCACUACCAGAUGGACCUGCGUUGUAUUAGCUAGUUGGUGAGGUAACGGCUCACCAAGGCAACGAUACAUAGCCGACCUGAGAGGGUGAUCGGCCACACUGGGACUGAGACACGGCCCAGACUCCUACGGGAGGCAGCAGUAGGGAAUCUUCGGCAAUGGACGGAAGUCUGACCGAGCAACGCCGCGUGAGUGAAGAAGGGUUUCGGAUCGUAAAGCUCUGUUGUAAGAGAAGAACGAGUGUGAGAGUGGAAAGUUCACACUGUGACGGUAUCUGACCAGAAAGGGACGGCUAACUACGUG